rnacentral:rRNA from 1 species
AUUGAACGCUGGCGGCAUGCCUUACACAUGCAAGUCGAACGGUAACAGGUCUUCGGAUGCUGACGAGUGGCGAACGGGUGAGUAAUACAUCGGAACGUGCCCGAGAGUGGGGGAUAACGAGGCGAAAGCUUUGCUAAUACCGCAUACGAUCUCAGGAUGAAAGCAGGGGACCGCAAGGCCUUGCGCUCACGGAGCGGCCGAUGGCAGAUUAGGUAGUUGGUGGGAUAAAAGCUUACCAAGCCGACGAUCUGUAGCUGGUCUGAGAGGACGACCAGCCACACUGGGACUGAGACACGGCCCAGACUCCUACGGGAGGCAGCAGUGGGGAAUUUUGGACAAUGGGCGCAAGCCUGAUCCAGCCAUGCCGCGUGCAGGAUGAAGGCCUUCGGGUUGUAAACUGCUUUUGUACGGAACGAAAAGACUCUUUCUAAUAAAGGGGGUCCAUGACGGUACCGUAAGAAUAAGCACCGGCUAACUACGUGCCAGCCGCCGCAGUAACAC